CUGUCUUCUGGCUGACUCCUUUGGAGUACAUCCCACCAAAGGAGACGAAGGAGCCGAAGCACAACCAGAAGCACCCACAGCUGAGAUAGACACUCCGGAAAAUAUACAUCUCAAUAGCGAGACAUAGAUAUUACUAGAGAACCUCCUCCAUAUAUACAUAUAUAUCGAGCUGCGAAAAUGACAAUUGUGAGUUGUGGUUCAAAAUUGUUGGCUUCGCAUGCGGGGCACAAUCAAAGCAAACGUCAUUAGCACUCGCGACAUCGCCUUCGAUUGACAGGAGGACGAGGAGCAGGAGCAGGAGCAGGAGCAGCAGCAGUAGCAGAAGAAGGAGAAAGAGGUGGAGCUGUAGCAGGUCCUGCCGCAGAAGCAGGCACGAACAACUUCACAUUUGCAUAACUUUAGUGCAACGCCAGCGUUCAGAUACCGAUUCACAGAUGUCAAUGGGCGUGGCAGGGGGACAGAGCAGUGAACCGAGGCAGCUGAAAAUCAAAGCCCAAUUGGCACAAACACGCGGUAAAUAGAAAUCGCAAUCGGAAUCGGAAUUGAAAUAGAAAUUCGCAUUCAAAUUCAAAUGCAAAUAGAAAUUGCCACGAGAGUCCCAUAGAAGAAGAAGAAAACAGCAACA